rnacentral:rRNA from 1 species
UACGUAGGGACCAAGCGUUGUUCGGAUUUACUGGGCGUAAAGGGCGCGUAGGCGGCGCGGUAAGUCACUUGUGAAAUCUCUGAGCUUAACUCAGAACGGCCAAGUGAUACUGCAGUGCUAGAGUGUGGAAGGGGCAAUCGGAAUUCUUGGUGUAGCGGUGAAAUGCGUAGAUAUCAAGAGGAACACCUGAGGUGAAGGCGGGUUGCUGGGCCAACACUGACGCUGAGGCGCGAAAGCCAGGGGAGCAAACAGG